rnacentral:rRNA from 1 species
GAUGAACGCUGGCGGCGUGCCUAAUACAUGCAAGUCGAGCGAACAGACGAGGAGCUUGCUCCUCUGGCGUUAGCGGCGGACGGGUGAGUAACACGUGGAUAACCUACCUAUAAGACUGGGAUAACUUCGGGAAACCGGAGCUAAUACCGGAUAAUAUAUUGAACCGCAUGGUUCAAUAGUGAAAGACGGUUUUGCUGUCACUUAUAGAUGGAUCCGCGCCGCAUUAGCUAGUUGGUAAGGUAACGGCUUACCAAGGCAACGAUGCGUAGCCGACCUGAGAGGGUGAUCGGCCACACUGGAACUGAGACACGGUCCAGACUCCUACGGGAGGCAGCAGUAGGGAAUCUUCCGCAAUGGGCGAAAGCUUGACGGAGCAACGCCGCGUGAGUGAUGAAGGUCUUCGGAUCGUAAAACGCUGUUAUUAGGGAAGAACAAAUGUGUAAGUAACUAUGCACGUCUUGACGGUACCUAAUCAGAAAGCCACGGCUAACUACGU